rnacentral:tRNA from 1 species
GCAGGUGUCGAUCUUUGGGUGCCGGUUUCUUGUAAACAGAAGGUUAGGGGUUCAAGUCCCCUCGCCGGCU